AUUUAAUAUUUUUUUUUUUUUGAUACCAAUAAUUUGAUCUACCAGAGGUUAUCAUUCCCUACAAAUCCAAACAUUUCGACCACCCCUGGACCAAGUUACUUCAUUGUCUUCCUUUGAUUAUUUAGUGGAAAUCAUAAUUCCUAGUUUACAAAUUUAAAUACAUAUUCAGAUCAAUAUAGUAUUAUUUGGUUCAAAUCCUAGACGAUGAUGUUUAACACACAAGGAGCUCAGCCCUUACCUAUCGAGAAGGAAAGGAAGCUAAUAUAUCUUCAUGGUGAAAUACCUUCAAACAAAAUAUGCCUCCAAGCUGGACAGAAUUUGAAGAUAUCUGGGGAGUUCCUUUGGAAGGUGUGAGCUCUAAAAACCCAAGAUUGACUGCAUUGUGAGUGCUCAGUGUUGUUUCUAAUAUCCUUUAGAAAAUAAAGGGAUUGUCAACAAUGGGACUCAGAGGGAGACUUGAAGGUGAAAUUAGGGCCUUACUGAAUUAAGAACCUUGGGAGGAUGACAAUUUGUUGGUAUAUUCCAUCACAUCUUCUGCGUCUGACACAUGUUUUGACGAGUCUCUCGACUUGGUCACAACUCUUGACAUGCCUACUCCUCCGCCUCUUUUGCCUCCUAUUUCAUGUCCUGCACCUGCUUCUUUGUCAUCGGAUCCGAACCCUAACGAUGAUCUUCCCAUUGUACUACGUAAAGUUGUUGCUGUUGAGGGUGGGCAUCAGAGUUUGGUGUGGGUGUUCGCCGAUGGCUGGAGACGAGAAGACCGACAUCGACGGUGUCGACUUUGACGAAAUCGGCAUCGACAGGCUAAGAAGAUCGAAGCCCUAAUUUUUUGUUGAAGCCUAGAUCUUCGUCUUAGUCUAGCACCACCGCUUCUUUAUCUCGUCGAAGGCUAGAUUUUCGUGUCAAUCCACCGGUGUUUCUUAUUCUUCUCUUUGUGUAUUGAUUUUUAAUUUUUAAUAUAUGGAUCUAAGUUAUAGCUAUCAUUUUUAGUUUGGGAUCUGAAAUUUUGUGUACUGUAUUAGUUUUGGUCUGUUUAUAGCUGCCCAAAAAUACUAAGUUAUAAGUAUUUGAAUAAGUAUUUUAAUAUUGUCUGUUUAGUUUGGGAUCUGAAAUUUUGUGUACUGAAAUUUUGAAUAAGUAUUUUAAUGUCGUAUGUUUAUGGUUGCCCAAUUGAGAGAAUGAAGAAGAAGACAAGCUUCUCUGUUGUGGGAUGGAGAUUAUCUACCUCCAGCUGCCUAUUCUAUUUUUCAAGCAGCCUUCUCGUUUCAUCAAUCAAAGAAAAAAAAAAAGGAAUGAGGAAGAAGACGAGAUAGAAUAGAGAAAAAGUGUGUUUAUUUUAAGUUUUAAAUUUUAUUAUUAUUUUGUAUUUUUCUUUUAAUUUUAAAUAAUUUUUAAUGGAAUUUUUAUUUAAAAUGUUUUUUUAGAAAUUAAAUAAUAUGGGCCAAUUAAAUAUUGCCACAUAUACAUCUAUUUGAGAUAUACAAUGAUUUAUUGUUAAUGAUUGGAAUGGUGUAACAUUUAUUUUUAAUGAUAAUGCCAUCUGGCACAUUACAAGAAAGAAAACAGAGAGGUACCUACGGAAGUUCCACACUAAUGACGGAAGGUAUUUUUACCGCCAAAAAUACGACUUAGGGACUUAUAUGCUACUCAGAGUAAAACUUAGGUAUUUAUGCCGCAAAUUAUUCUUCAAUAAAUAAUAAGAAUUAUUAUUCACCAAAAUUACAUUAAUACAACUCUUAAUUAUCCCCUAACAAAAUAUCAAAAAAUAAACAAAGAACGCAUUCUAACAUACUUGUUCUAUAGAAUGACUCAGAUGACUCAACUGUUACAAAUUUUUCCAAAGGACUUCGUUUCAAUGGUGGUUGUGAUGGCAGACGUGGUGGUCACGGAGAUAGAGGUCGUGGUGGUGGUCUCAUGGUGGAGCUUAGAGAUCGAAACAAUGGAGAGAGCUGGAACGAGCUGGAGGUAUUGGUUGUGGAGUCAGAGAAGGCAGUGGUAGCUUCAUCAGAGAAGAUGGCAGUCAUGGUGGUGGAGAAGUCAUGGUCACAUGGUGGAGGAGAAAGAGACUGCCGACAGGUGUUCCCUGCUAUGCUAAAUGUUGGAAUUGACAAGCAGAGAUUAAUUGAAGAACGUCUUUUACCUGCUUUUUGGAGAAAUAAAAUUCUGUAAAAAUUGUUCACAUUGCAACAGUUAGGUGACGUUUGGUUGGAGGAUACUUGUAAGUGUUUAAUGACAGCACGUCCACACUUGAGGAUCGAGCGAGCUUAGGUUAAAAGGCUGAGAAGGCUCGCUUGAGGAUCAUAAAGAUCUCACCCAAUGGGGCCUUAAAAGGGAUCUUUGAUUUAUUGUUUUUUUUUUCUUGUGAAUCUGAGAAUAUUACGACUUUGAGAGUUGGAGUGCUUUCUUGCAGGUACCCGAGAGAUUUCUCUCAAUUUCUCAAGACUUGGGGAACAUCUCCAUGGUUUUCAUUGUAGAUUCAUCCAAUUAAAAUCAACCUCGGACCAUACUUUGGCGAUUUGUGGAUUAAAUAUGCUUGUGAACGUUUUGGAUCUAACAUUAACAGGUUUGGAUUGGGCUUUGAUUCACUCGACCAACUCGGCAGUCGGCACUAGUGAAAAAUUAUGGAUGGAACUCAGGUCUGGCCUCAAGAUGUUCUUGUCGUAAUCUCAAGUGGUCUGCUGAUUUUUCCUACCCUGAGGUGGCCACCUUAUUCCUAGGAUUCUCAUAUUCUUGUAUCAAUGAAAUUAAUCUCCAAUCAGUAGUACAAUAAAAUUUUAGUGACUAGUGGCAAACAUCCAUUUAGUAUACUGAUAUCCUUGUAUUUUAUCGGACAUGCAAGUGCAGGACUCUUUAUAGUACUUACCUACUGCCAUAAUAUGCCAGUCAAAAUAUGAUUUUGAAGUAGCUGACAAAUUGUGUUAUCGUAUUGUGUUUGUGUUAAGACUAUACGAUAAUGAUCUUUUCAGAUCGUUU